CCAAUAGAGAAAGAAGUUAUAAUUAAAAAUUCUAGUCUGGGUAGAGAAUUGAUUAGCUCUAUAGAAUUUCAUACUAAACCUGAGGAGGUUAUUGGUCUACUUGAAGCUGGAGCUGAUCCUAAUGCUACUGAAUAUGCAUCCGAUCGCAAGACAGCUCUUAUUAGAGCCAUUGAUAAGAAUAAUAUUGGUAUUGUCAAAUUUUUGCUGGAGAAAGGAGCUGAUCCUAAUAUUGGUU